rnacentral:rRNA from 1 species
UCGGACUUAGCGGCGGACGGGUGAGUAACGCGUGGGAACGUACCCAGAGGUACGGAACAACAGUUGGAAACGACUGCUAAUACCGUAUAAGCCCUACGGGGGAAAGAAUUUCGCCUUUGGAUCGGCCCGCGUUGGAUUAGAUAGUUGGUGGGGUAAUGGCCUACCAAGUCUACGAUCCAUAGCUGGUUUGAGAGGAUGAUCAGCCACACUGGGACUGAGACACGGCCCAGACUCCUACGGGAGGCAGCAGUGGGGAAUCUUAGACAAUGGGCGAAAGCCUGAUCUAGCCAUACCGCGUGAGCGACGAAGGCCUUAGGGUUGUAAAGCUCUUUCGCCAGGGAUGAUAAUGACAGUACCUGGUAAAGAAGUCCCGGCUAACUCCGUGCCAGCAGCCGCGGUAAUACGGAGGGGACUAGCGUUGUUCGGAAUUACUGGGCGUAAAGCGCACGUAGGCGGAUUGGAAAGUUGGGGGUGAAAUCCCGGGGCUCAACCCCGGAACUGCCUCCAAAACUUCCAGUCUUGAGUUCGAGAGAGGUGAGUGGAAUUCCGAGUGUA